CNUNCCCUCNUACCAUGCAAGUCGAGCGGCAGCACGGGUUACUUGUUACCUGGGUGGCGAGCGGCGNUACGGGUGAGUAAUGCCUANGAAUCUGCCUANUANUGGGGUGAUAACGNUCCGGAAACGGNCGCUAAUACCGCAUACGNUCCUACGGGUAGAAAGUGGGGGAUCUUCNGACNUCACGCUAUUAGAUGAGCCUAGGUCGGAUUANCUAGUUGGUGAGGUAAUGGCUCACCAAGGCGACGAUCCGUAACUGGUCUGAGAGGAUGAUCAGUCNCACUGGAACUGAGACACGGUCCAGACUCCUACGGGAGGCAGCAGUGGGGAAUAUUGGACAAUGGGCGAAAGCCUGAUCCAGCCAUGCCGCGUGUGUGAAGAAGGUCUUCGGAUUGUAAAGCACUUUAAGUUGGGAGGAAGGGCAGUUACCUAAUACGUGAUUGUUUUGACGUUACCGACAGAAUAAGCACCGGCUAACUCUGUGCCAGCAGCCGCGGUAAUACAGAGGGUGCAAGCGUUAAUCGGAAUUACUGGGCGUAAAGCGCGCGUAGGUGGUUUGUUAAGUUGGAUGUGAAAGCCCCGGGCUCAACCUGGGAACUGCAUCCAAAACUGGCAAGCUAGAGUAUGGUAGAGGGUGGUGGAAUUUCCUGUGUAGCGGUGAAAUGCGUAGAUAUAGGAAGGAACACCAGUGGCGAAGGCGACCACCUGGACUGAUACUGACACUGAGGUGCGAAAGCGUGGGGGAGCAAACAGGAUUAGAUACCCUGGUAGUCCNCGC
rnacentral:rRNA from 1 species